UACGUAGGGUGCAAGCGUUGUCCGGAAUUAUUGGGCGUAAAGAGCUCGUAGGCGGUUUGUCGCGUCGAAUGUGAAAACCCGGGGCUCAACCCCGGGCCUGCAUUCGAUACGGGCAGACUAGAGUUCGGUAGGGGAGUCUGGAAUUCCUGGUGUAGCGGUGAAAUGCGCAGAUAUCAGGAGGAACACCGGUGGCGAAGGCGGCAUCCUGGACCAAUUCUGACGCUGAGUGAGCGAAAGCCAGGGGAGCAAACGGG
rnacentral:rRNA from 1 species